GAAAGUGAUGAUAAGAAAUUGUCGCCCCAGUCUUACUUGCAUUUUUUACAAUGGAUGCAAUAUGGUGAUUGACUAAUUUCGUCUGAUUC
rfam:Arabis alpina cultivar Pajares Aa.chr1_contig_3371, whole genome shotgun sequence.